GAAAUGCGAUACUUGGUGUGAAUUGCAGAAUUCAGUGAAUCAUCAAAUCUUUGAACGCAUCUGGCGCUUAUGGGUAACCCUGUAAGCACACUUUUUUGAGGGUCAGUUCAUCUCAUCUCGAGUUCGUAGCUCGGACACCAGCAGUUGAGUUCACUCUACUGUGCGUAAAAGAAGCGGGCCCACAAAGCCUCUUUUUUUUUUUGAACUGUCUGAUGCCAGUUCCUUGCAUGAUAAUAGACUUCAUGUCUUUCCUUCUAGCAUGGAAUCGGAUAAGGACGUUCUUCCAAAUAAAAAAGGAACUCAUCUUGUUUUUGACCUCAGAUAAAGUGAGAGAACCCGCCGAAUUUAA
rnacentral:misc_RNA from 1 species